rnacentral:rRNA from 1 species
GGACUACCGGGGUAUCUAAUCCUGUUUGCUCCCCACGCUUUCGCGUCUCAGCGUCAGUCACUGUCCAGAAGGCCGCCUUCGCCACCGGUGUUCCUCUCGAUAUCUACGAAUUUCACCUCUACACCGAGAAUUCCGCCUUCCUCUCCAGGACUCCAGCUCGCCAGUUUCGAGUGCGCUUCCUAGGUUGAGCCCAGGGCUUUCACACCCGACAUUGCGAGCGGCCUACACGCGCUUUACGCCCAGUAAUUCCGAACAACGUUUGCACCCUCUGUCUUACCGCGGCGGCUGGCAC